rnacentral:rRNA from 1 species
AGAUACCCUAUUAUUUUAAAUGUAAAAAUUAAAGGCCUGAGUAGUAGGAGUUAUGGUCUUAAAACUUAAAGAAUUUGGCGGUGUUCUAGUCCAUUCAGAGGAACCUGUCCCGUGAUUGAUAUUCCACGUUUUAUCUUACUUAAUUUUGUAGAGCUUGUAUACCGCCGUCGUCGGAGUGUCCUUGUAGGGAGUUAAUUUUCAUGGAUUUUUAAUUAGUUAAGAUGUCAGGUCAAGGUGCAGUUUAUGGUUAAGUGGAGAUGGGUUACAAUUAAAGUUUAUUAAAUAGACGGAUAAUGAAUUGAAUAAGUUAGUUGGAAGGUGGAUUUGAUAGUAAAUUUAAUUAGAAAGUUAAGUUGAUUGGGGCUCUAGAGCAUGCACACAUCGCCCGUCGCUCUCGUUAGUUAGGUGAGAUAAGUCGUAACAUAGA